AUUGAACGCUGGCGGCAUGCUUUACACAUGCAAGUCGAACGGGGUGGGGGGCAACCCUCAUUCAGUGGCGAACGGGUGAGUAAUGCAUCGGAACGUACCCCGGAGUGGGGGAUAACGCCGCGAAAGCGGCGCUAAUACCGCAUAUGCUCUGAGGAGGAAAGUGGGGGACCGCAAGGCCUCACGCUCUGGGAGCGGCCGAUGUCCGAUUAGCUAGUUGGUGGGGUAAUGGCCCACCAAGGCGACGAUCGGUAGCUGGUCUGAGAGGAUGAUCAGCCACACUGGGACUGAGACACGGCCCAGACUCCUACGGGAGGCAGCAGUGGGGAAUUUUGGACAAUGGGGGCAACCCUGAUCCAGCCAUGCCGCGUGCGGGAAGAAGGCCUUCGGGUUGUAAACCGCUUUUAGUCGGGAAGAAAAGGCAUCUCCUAAUACGGGGUGUUCUUGACGGUACCGGCGGAAUAAGCACCGGCUAACUACGUGCCAGCCGCCGCCGUAAGAC
rnacentral:rRNA from 1 species